GGCCCAAUGCCAACGACGAAUACCGGUACACAAAACAACGCAAACAGCGGAUCUGAAAAUGAACCCGCACCGGAGGGCGAACCAGGUUCAAGUGGUGUAUCUUACAGAGCAGACUCGAUCAUUAUUUUAUUUUUUGUAACCUGUUUAUCAAAUGUUUUUGUCGUGUAGGGUUGUAAAUUAUUUUGUCUAGUUAUUAUGUGUAAAUAUUCUACGUCAUCAAUUUCCGUGUUCUUAUUGUGAAUUUCCAUUGCGUCAUUUUCUCCGCUGGCCCUUUAUCAACCCAAUUCGUCUAUAUGGGGUAUAUGGGGUAUAAAUACAUUAUAUUAUACGUCAUA